rnacentral:rRNA from 1 species
CGUUCAACCUCACCCUUCCUUGUUUACCCCGCCUAUAUACCGCCGUCGUCAGCUUACCCUGUGAAGGGUAUAUAGUAAGCAAAAUUGGCACCGCCCAGAACGUCAGGUCGAGGUGUAGCGCAUGAGAGGGGAAGAAAUGGGCUACAUUCACUAAAUUAGUGAAUACGAACGAUGUAAUGAAAACGUACAUCCUGAAGGUGGAUUUAGCAGUAAGUGAAAAAUAGAGUGUUUCACUGAAGUAGGCUCUGAAGUGCGUACACACCGCCCGUCACUCUCCCCAAGCCCGAUCAACCCACAUAACUAAAACAACAUAAACGCUAAGGGGAGGCAAGUCGUAACAUGGUAAGUGUACCGGAAGGUGUACUUGGAAUA